rnacentral:rRNA from 1 species
AGGCAGCAGUGGGGAAUUUUGGACAAUGGGCGAAAGCCUGAUCCAGCAAUGCCGCGUGCAGGAUGAAGGCCCUCGGGUUGUAAACUGCUUUUGUACGGAACGAAAAGACUCUCUCUAAUAAAGAGGGUUGAUGACGGUACCGUAAGAAUAAGCACCGGCUAACUACGUGCCAGCAGCCGCGGUAA